GGCUGUAGCAGGAGACCUGUGGCUGCAUCUCCCAGGGCCUUCCGGCGGGGCCGAGGCACACAAUACUGAGACCAGAAUAAAGCAGUGCAUUUACUACCUUGUGAAGAAUGUUCAGUGGGCUUGAUCCAGUCAGGUGAAGGUCUGAAGAGAAAAAAAGACCGUCCUCUUCCCAGAACAAGAGAAUCCUCCAACAAAUACCUUUGGACUGGACCUGCACCAUCAGCUUUCCUGGGUUUCCAGCCUCCUGCCUCACACUCCAGCUUUUGGACUUGUUAGACUUAAUAAUAACACAAGCCAAUCCUUUUAAGGAAGUUUGUCUGGAGAAUCUUGACAAACACAAACAUCUACUGAGAGUUCCUGUCCAAGUUUUGCUCACACCCUAGCAAGAGGCUUCUGGCUUACCAGUCGAGAGUGUGAGGUUCUUUGCUUGUAAGACCUGAUCCACCAGCUGUACACCAGCUCUGGCCCAGGGCAAGACAGGGAAUUUCCCCAUCACUGAGUAGGCUGU
rnacentral:antisense_RNA from 1 species